rnacentral:lncRNA from 1 species
AACGCCGCAUUCGACAGCAUCGCGGUCUCUUCCUUUCCCCCACUCGGAGAAGCCAAAGGUGAGCUCCUCUUUCUCUUCUUGAUCUUGUUUUAGCUCUUUUCUUCAUCGCUGCGCAGUGAUCGAAAUAGCAUCAGACGCGAGCAUUGCGGAAGCUGUCCAGAUUCUAGCGAGGAACAACGUUUUGAGCGCACCUGUGAGAGAUGUCGAGGCCCCCGACGACGCGAGCUGGAUCGAUCGGUACAUAGGAAUCGUCGAGUUUGCUGGCAUCAUCUUGUGGCUCCUCCAACAGGUUGG